UUGCCUUAAACUAAUGAGUAAGGAAAACAAAGCGAGUGGUGAGAGCUGCUCGCCGCGCAUACUCUAAAAUCGCGCAUUAAUUUUUGGAGGGGCAUAGGCUGGCCGUUGUGUUGACGCUGCUUACUUCGCAGAACUCGCACGUGCGGGCCUCCCCC